rnacentral:rRNA from 1 species
CCUACGGGAGGCAGCAGUGAGGAAUAUUGGUCAAUGGGCGCGAGCCUGAACCAGCCAAGUCGCGUGAGGGAAGACGGUCCUAUGGAUUGUAAACCUCUUUUGUCGGGGAGCAAAGGACGCCACGCGUGGCGUUUCGAGAGUACCCGAAGAAAAAGCAUCGGCUAACUCGGGGCACGCAGCCGCGGUAAUACGGGGGGUGCGAGGUUUAUCCGGAUUUAUUGGGUUUAAAGGGUGCGCAGGCGGAAGAUCAAGUCAGCGGUAAAAUUGAGAGGCUCAACCUCAUAGAGCAGUUGAAACUGGUUUUCUUGAGUGAGUGAGAGGUAUGCGGAAUGCGUGGUGUAGCGGUGAAAUGCAUAGAUAUCACGAAGAACUCCGAUUGCGAAGGCAGCAUACCGGCGCUCAACUGACGCUGAUGCACGAAAGUGUGGGUAUCGAACAGGAUUAGAUACCCUUGUAGUC